GGAGGGAUGGCCGAGUGGCUGAAGGCGCACGCUUGGAAAGCGUGUAUACGGGUAACCGUAUCGAGGGUUCGAAUCCCUCUUCCUCCGCCA
rnacentral:tRNA from 1 species